UGGUGGUGGGGGUGGGGGGGGGGGGGGGGGGGGUAAGCAGACUUGGUAUAACUGACUUUUGUUGUUCUUGAUGCAUUCUUCUCUUUUUAAAUCGGCCCCUUUUCAGAUUGUGUGUAGCCAUAAACGGCUUUUCUUGUUACAGGGGUAGCGAGCAAAACACCAGCGUUCAGCGACCAGCUUGAGCGGUGGUACGCUGAAGUAAGAGCACUGGCUUUUGGAAAAACCUGCGGACUACCGGGCGAGCAAAGAGAGAGAGACAGCCUACCGCUGGUUCGGUCGAGCAGAGAGCACGAUCUCCGGCGGCUGAAGAGUGGUUCUUGAAUCGGCCAGAUACUGUUCCAUCCUCUUUUCUGCCAAUCAAGCAAAGAUGAGGACAACACCCAAACUGGCACGAUAACAGCGCCGUAUAAGAAGAGGACCCAAUUGUUCCAAAAGGCCCUGAUUUUGCUCCGCCGCGGUCCGCGCGGAGGCUGCCGCAGCUGUGGACAGCAACAGGUGAGAAAAGGUGAGAGGAACCUGCUGACAUCCAUAUGACCGUAUGACCAAGACAAGACCUGUCUGUCCAGGAGACAGAGACCACACCAGGUAUGUUUUACCUACCAUGGUUGUGAUAAUUGGAUUUUCUGGACACCUGUAUGAGUGCAGUAUAUCCAGCGGAUUAUAACCAGGGAGAGGGUGAGUCAACUCUAAUUAUUGUCAUGUCAAGCAAUACAAAUGGCCAGCCAUCACCCAACCCCUUCUCUCUAGCAUGGUAGCCUAGUUACUGCUGUUCCUCACAUCCACUUCAUAUCUACAGAACUAGUUUACUGUCUCAGAACACCAAAGCUAAGGAAAGGUAGGCUAGAGGAGGCCUUCAAGGGUGGAGUUUCUCUCUGUUUCACACGAGCUGAAGUUGCCACAGUUUCAUCAGAAAAAAGUUGUUUCUACGCUAUACAAACCAUAAGCAUAAAAAACUCACUCUAGUCUCCUAACAAACAACUCUAAACAUAGAUAAGAACAUGUUUUUCUGGGAAAUAAGUAGAGAACAUACUGUGUCCUACUUCCGCCCACUCUGUGCUGGGCCAAAGCAGGAGUAGAUAGUGAGGUGGGAUGUGGGGACAGGAGAGGAGAAUGGGAGUGGUGGGGUGUACUCUGCUCACGGUCCCACAGUUAAUCCCGAGGAGGGAGCUGUGACUGAGACUGAGCGGGGAUGAGGGAUGAACAGAUAGGACUUGUCCACAGACAGUCAAAG
rnacentral:lncRNA from 1 species